CAGGCACAAUGAUGAAUGAUUUUAUUGUCAUAUGAAUUCAUGUGAUUAAAACAAUCCUCCUACUCAUUCUGA